UGGAGGCUUUGGUAUUUAGAGAAGACCAUACAUCUGUAUAUUGUAAUUCUCUAUUGUGCAGCAAUAUAUUUUGUAUUAAUGUUGGCUCUCUAACAACUUUGUUAAAUUGUUUGCCAACAUAAAAUUAAGCACUGCACAAGGCUUACCUGCAGACAACACAGUUAUUAUUUGAAUGCUUGUUAAGUUUUUUAUUUUCAGCUCACCUGAUUGCUCAGGUGAGCUUUUGUGACUGGUCUUUGUCCGUCUUCCGUCCGUCUGUCCGUCGUCCACAUUUGGUUUGUAAACACUCUAGAGGCCACAUUUCAUGUCCAAUCUCUAUGAAACUUGGUCAGAAGAUUUGUCCCAAUGAUAUCUUGAUCAAGUUUGACACCGGGUCAUGCUGGGUCAAAAACUAGGUCACUAGGUCAAAAAAAGAAAAACCUUGUAAACACUGUAAAAGUCACAUUUCAUGCCCAAUCUUCAUGUAACUUUGUCAAAAUAUUAGCCUUAAUGAUAUGUUUGUCGAGUUCAAAAGUGAUUCCGGUCCGUUGAAAAACAUGGCCGCCAGUGGGCGGGGCAGUUUUCCUUAUUUGGCUAUAGAGAAACAUUGUAAACACUCUAGAAGUCACAAUUUUUGCCCAAUCAUCAUGAAAGUUGGUCAAAACAUUGGUUUUAUUGAUAUCUGGGACGAGUUCGAAAUGGUCCAGAUCGGUGAAAAAGCAUGGCCUCCAGUGGGCGGGGCAUUUUUCUCUAUUUGUAUAUAGUGAAAACGUGAACACUCUAGAAGUGACAUUUUUGGCACAAUUUUAAUGAAAUUUGGUCAGAACAUUUGUUUCCUUGAUAUGAAAGUUGAGUUUGAAAAUGGUUCCGGUCAGUUGAAUAACAUAGCUGCAAGGCGGGGGGGGGCAGUAUUCCUUAUUUGGCUAAAGAGAAACCUUGUAAACAGUCUAGAAGUCACAAUUUUUGCCCAAUCAUCAUGAAAGUUGGUCAAAACAUUGGUUUUAUUGAUAUCUCGGACGAGUUUGAAAAUGGUCCAGAUCAGUUAAAACAACAUGGCCGCCAGUGGUCGGGGCAUUUUUCUCUAUAUGUUUAUUGUGAAAACAUGUGAACACUCUAGAAGUCACAUUUUUGGCCCAAUUUUCUUGACAUUUGAUCAGAACAUUUGUUUCUUUUAUAUGAGAGUUGAGUUCGAAAAUGGUUCCGGUCAGUUGAAUAACAUGGCUGCCGAGGGGGGGGGCAGUUUUCCUUAUUUGGCUAUAGAGAAACCUUGUAAACACUCUAGAAGUCACAAUUUUUGCCCAAUCAUCAUGAAAAUUGGUCAAAACAUUGGUUUUAUUGAUAUCUCGGACGAGUUUGAAAAUGGUCCAGAUCAGUUAAAAAAACAUGGCCGCAAGUGGUCGGGGCAUUUUUCUCUAUAUGUAUAUUGUGAAAACAUGUAAACACUUUAGAAGUCACAUUUUUGGCCAAAUUUUCUUGAAAUUUGGUCAGAACAUUUGUUUCUUUUAUAUGAGAGUUGAGUUCGAAAAUGGUUCCGGUCAGUUGAAUAACAUGGCUGCCGAGGGGGGGGGGGCAGUUUUCCUUUUUUGGCUAUAGAGAAACCUUGUAAACACUCUAGAAGUCACAAUUUUUGCCCAAUCAUCAUGAAAGUUGGUCAAAACAUUGGUUUUAUUGAUAUCUCGGCCGAGUUAGAAAAUGGUCCAGAGCAGUGAAAAAACACGGCUGCCAGUGGGCGGGGCAUUUUUUUCUAUAUGUAUAUAGUGAAAACAUGUGAACACUCUAGAACAUUUGAAAAGAGAGUUGAGUUCGAAAAUGGUUCCGGUCAGUUGAAUAACAUGGCUUCCGGGGGGGGGGGGGGGGGGGGGGGGGGGCAGUUUUCCUUAUUUGGCUUAAGAGGAACCUUGUAAACACUCUAGAAGUCACAAUUUUUGCUCAAUCAUCAUGAAAGUUGGUCAAAACAUUGGUCCUUGAUAUCUCAGACGAGUUCGAAAAUGGUCCAGAUCGGUGAAAAAACAUUGCCGCCAGUGGGCAGGGUAUUUUUCUCUAUUUGUAUAUAGUGAAAACAUGUGAACACUCUAGAAGUGACAUUUUUGGCCCAAUUUGCAUGACAUUUGGUCAGAACAUUUGUUUCCUUGAUAUGAGAGUUGAGUUGGAAAAUGGUUCCGGUCAGUUGAAUAACAUGGUUGCUGGGGGGGGGGGCUGUUUUCUCAUACUUAUACAGUAAAAAAAACUUGUGAACACUCUAGAAAUCACAUUUUUUGCCCAAUCAUCAUGAAACUUUGUACAAAGAUUGGGUUUAAUAUAUAUCACAUAAUUAAUGCCAUAACUAUUGCCCUUAGAUUGUCCAAAUUUUCAUUAUAUUAUACAAAAUCCUUGUAAACACUCUAGAGGUCACAAUUUUGUUUCAGAUUUUAUGAAUCUUGGUCAUAAUAUUUAUUUUUGUAAGCGAAGUUUGAUAUUUGGUAAGGGGGAGGGAAGGGGGUCAACUCAAAAUAUAGGUCACAAGGUCAAAUCUUACAAAAACAAGAACACUCCAUAUGCCAGAGUUUUGGUUCAACAAUGAUGAAACUUGACCAGGAUGUUUGUCUGGAUAAUAUCUAGGUCAAGUUUGACGUUUGGUAAAGAUUGAAUAAACCAACUCCUCUCAGGUGAGCGAACUAGGGCCAUCUUGGCCCUCUUGUCUGUAAAAUUCUUAACAGGACUUUCUACCUAUGCACAUGUCAGAUUUAUUUUUUCAACAGAAUAACAUUAGAAUUGUUUGAUGUUUUAGUGUAAGCUUGAUGGAUAAUAUAUCAGUGACCAAUUUGUUAAAGCAUGAAAGGACUGGUACAUAUAGUGUAAGUGUAAAAGUUAAACAUGUAUGACAUGGAAAACAUAUAAGUUGUAAACAUAUUUUAUACAUUUUACCUUUGAACUUCAUUGACCUGAGGUAUAUUAUCAUGCUUAUUCGAAUAUAUUUGUUAUCUUAAUGUCAAGCAUCGAAAGCAUUUAAAUUAAUUCCCAGUACGUGUAUGGUAAUUUGGCAUAUUAUUAUGCACAAUUAUGUAAUCAAUAUUAAGUCAUUUGUUGCAGAAUUUUGAUCUUUUUUAGUUAGUGUAUGUGACAAAAAAGAAAAUUUUGGAUAAAAGUUAAAAUAAAAUUUAAUUAUAAUUCAUCAUAUUUAUUACUGUGUCACUUGUUAUGCCCCCCAUGUCCAGAGAAAAAGGUCAUAUGGAUUUAAACGUGUCAGUCCAUCUUUAAAUCGGCAAGUUGCGCAUCUGGAUAACUUAAAAGUUUCAUUUUAGGCAGUUAUGGCAAUUAACAUUCACUUAAGUGGCAUGCAUAUCCACUGGCCUGUCAGUUGUUGUUUUUUUUCUAUCCAUUCUUUAUACAAGGUUAACCCAAAAUGAGUGUUUCCUUUAUCAUGAAAAGAUUUGAUACUAGUGUGGAUGUAAUUUAUGAAAACUCUCAACGCACCCUUAUUUAUCACCUGACCUUAUUUUGAUCUUGUAAUUUACCUGCUUUUGAACUAGCCCUUGUCAAAAAAUAACCCACUUUCAUACCAAAACACACUUAAACCAACAUAAAACUGUGUUUUUUCUGAGUUUUUCUUAGCGGAAGUUGGUUUUUGCUAAUAAAAGUGAGUUUUAUGUGCGCUAAACUGUGCUUAACUGAGUUUAAAGUUGGUUAUUUUAAGAAGAUGUGUGUUUAAGCGAGUUUUUUUCAGUAAGAAGUCGGUUUUUUGUGUGUCAAAAGUGAGCCUUUUUAUUUAUGAGUUGGUUUAUGUGUGUUUAAGUGUGUCUUUUUGUUUUAUAAGCGAGUCUUUUACAACAGAAGUUGGUCUUUUUUUAAACAGAAGUGGGUUUAAGCGAGUUUAACUUGGUCUUUUUGUAAAUAAGUUGAGAGCUGCAACGAGGCUUAAAGACUCACUUUAACACACUUUUCAACAAGUUGGUCUUUUGUUUAUUAGUAUAACUCAUCAAUGAAACAAUAAUUCUUCAACUGGGUCUUUGUUUGAUGUUUAUAGCCAUAAAUAAAACAAGUCAAUUGUAAAGGGGCUUUUUUUACAGCUUGUUUGCCAUUGUCCCUAUUGUACAUUUGUGUGCUCCCCAUAAUUUUUAGGGAAUAUUGGAUGAAAAUGGCUCUUUCAGAACAUCACAGGUUCACAGAUGGACAACAAGUAUCACUGACAAAAACUAACAAUGGUCAAGCUUAGUUUUAUACAUGAAAAUGAAAGAGUUUGUGUUUCACUUUGAAUUUUUUCUUUAUGUUUGUUUUUAUUAUAAACAAUAUCUUAUGAUUGUUUUAUGUCUUAAUUUUUUAUUUUUUUUUAAACAAUCUCAUAUGAUUGUUUAUAUUUGUUUAAAACAGUAUUUACUUGUAAAAUCUGCAUAUUUAAAUAAUUAUGGUAUUGGAAACAUUAUUUUGGAAAUAAUCUAUUUAUUUUUGUACAUAAGUUAUGCAAGAUUUUGAUAUUUGCAUAUGAUACCAUCAUAUCCAUUUUCUUAAUUUGGAAUAAAAUAAUAAAAUGCCAAACAUUACCUGUGUUACAUAAACUGUCAACAAAAUAACAAGACAAUACCUUAAAACACCCUUAUUUCACACCACUAACAAUAAACAGAUAACAAUCUGUCAGGCAUUCAGAGCUAAACAGGGUACUGAUUAUCUAGGGGUAGAUAAGGCUACUGAUGGGGUCCUAGAGAUAAGGCUGUGUGGAAUAAGAUAUAAGGCUUUUGAUUGGCUAUUGCACUGAGGAAGUUAUCUUUUUGAAAACAACAACUUUUGAAAAACAAGCUGGUGUCAGCAACUGAAUAUUGAGCUAAAUUUAAUUCAGCAACAUUAAUAUAAAGAAGUGAAAGACUUAUAAUGGUAGUGUAAAAUGUCUUGAAAUUCUGUCAGCAUGAAGUAUUGUGUGAUGAAAACAAUGUGUUUUUUACUGCAAUGUGGAAAUCAAUAAUAAGUUGGUUGGAAAGGAGGUUGAACUGCCUGUUGUUGUUUUUGGAAUACUGAAGAACAGUUUUAACAGGUUAAACUCUUGCCACAAGGCAAAAUUGACAUCGUUGGGAAGAUCCUUUGGAAAGAAUGUGCAUCAUCGCCUGCCUGAUGUAUGGACUUUUAAACCUGGUUUUUACCCUGCACAAGCUGGCAAACUUGAGGGGAACAAGAGUGGGAAAACCUCGCCCUGUCCUUGACCAAGAAAGCUCGAUUUGUUGAGAGAUCAACUGGCAUAAGAGAUGCUCAAGAGGAGAAGGACACAAGCAGCAUCAAUGGAACAACUACAUGUCGCUCCAGCGCCCGCUUUCCAGGUCUCUACCAGCUGCUUUCCAGGUCCCUCCACCCGCCAAGAUCAGGUCUAGGUCCCUGCACUGGCUGCUUUCCAGGUCCCCUAGCGGUCAAGGUCUCUCCAGUAGCUGCUGUGCAGGUCCCAACACCGUAUGCCGUCAAGGUCCCUCCUUAAGCUGAAAUCCAGGUUCCUCAUUCCACUGCGGUUCAGGUACCUCCAACAGCUGAGAUCCAGGUCUCUGCAGCAGCUGCGGUCUAAAUACUCCACCCGCAGUGGUCCAUUGCGGUCAAACUUUUGCUUUAAAAUCUUCCAUAAAUGUCUAUUAUUUUAUAAUGUAUUGUAAAAAUAAUCUGUUAGUAUUAAUUUGCGGUGUACUAUUUUUGUCAUAUAAACAUAAUUUUCGUA